GCAAGUCGAGGGGUAAGGCUCUUUUCGGAGAGUACACGACCGGCGCACGGGUGCGUAACGCGUAUGCAACCUACCUUUAACAGAGGAAUAGCCCCGAGAAAUCGGGCUUAAUACCACAUACCAUCAUGAAAUGGCAUCAUAAUAUAAUUAAAACUCUGGUGGUUAAAGAUGGGCAUGCGUGACAUUAGCUAGAUGGUGGGGUAACGGCUCACCAUGGCAACGAUGUGUAGGGGUUCUGAGAGGAUGAUC
rnacentral:rRNA from 1 species